UCGAAAGCUACAAAGAGCGCAUGGUGAAUGCCUAGGCGCAGACAGCCGAUGAAGGACGCAGAAAGCGGCGAUACGCCACGGGGAGUUGCUAACAAGCCUUGAUCCGUGGAAUUCCGAAUGGGGCAACCCAGCAGGUGUUACGACCUGUUACCUUCUGGUGAAUACAUAGCCAGUUGGAGGCAAGCCGGUGAACUGAAACAUCUUAGUAACCGGAAGAAAGGAAAUCAAUCCAGAGACUCCCCUAGUAGCGGCGAGCGAACGGGGACAAGCCUAAACCGAUUGUGUGUCAUAGUUUGAGGACGUUGCACAGUCGGGGUCGUGGGAGCUUUGCCCGGUACCCUCAAGUGCCGGCAGGAGUUACCAAGGUAACCGAUAUUCGAAGUGUGUUUGAAAGCACCGCCAUAGAAGGUGAUAGCCCUGUAGGAAAAAUCGAUUACUCUCCUGAAAAGCCACCCGAGUAGCACGGGACACGUGAAACCCCGUGUGAAUCCGCCAGGACCAUCUGGUAAGGCUAAGUACUGUCUGCGACCGAUAGUGAACUAGUA
rnacentral:rRNA from 1 species